UCGCCACGGUAAAACCAGCUCUCCGAGUGGUGUGGAUGUUUAUUGGGCCUAAAGCAUCCGUAGCUGGCUAAGUUAGUCCCCUGUUAAAUCCACCGAAUUAAUCGUUGGAUUGCGGGGGAUACUGCUUGGCUAGGGGACGAGAGAGGCAGACGGUAUUUUCGGGGUAGGGGUGAAAUCCUAUAAUCCCGGGAAGACCACCAGUGGCGAAGGC
rnacentral:rRNA from 1 species